GACGGACGCUGGCGGCGUGCUUAACACAUGCAAGUCGAACGGAAAGGCCCUGCUUUUGUGGGGUGCUCGAGUGGCGAACGGGUGAGUAACACGUGAGUAACCUGCCCUUGACUUUGGGAUAACUUCAGGAAACUGGGGCUAAUACCGGAUAGGAGCUCCUGCUGCAUGGUGGGGGUUGGAAAGUUUCGGCGGUUGGGGAUGGACUCGCGGCUUAUCAGCUAGUUGGUGGGGUAGUGGCUUACCAAGGCUUUGACGGGUAGCCGGCCUGAGAGGGUGACCGGCCACAUUGGGACUGAGAUACGGCCCAGACUCCUACGGGAGGCAGCAGUGGGGAAUAUUGCACAAUGGGCGGAAGCCUGAUGCAGCAACGCCGCGUGCGGGAUGACGGCCUUCGGGUUGUAAACCGCUUUCGCCUGUGACGAAGCGUGAGUGACGGUAAUGGGUAAAGAAGCACCGGCUAACUACGUG
rnacentral:rRNA from 1 species